rnacentral:rRNA from 1 species
GACAAGCGGUGGAGUCAUGUGGUUUAAUUCGAAGCAACGCGAAGAACUUACCAGGUCUUGACAUCCUUUUGAAUGGUCUAGAGAUAGAUCAGGCCUUCGGGACAGAAGAGACAGGUGGUGCAUGGUUGUCGUCAGCUCGUGUCGUGAGAUGUUGGGUUAAGUCCCGCAACGAGCGCAACCCUUAUCAUUGAUUGCUAACAUUCAGUUGUGAACUCUAAUGAGACUGCCAGUGAUAAACUGGAGGAAGGUGGGGAUGACGUCAAAUCAUCAUGCCCCUUAUGACCUGGGCUACACACGUGCUACAAUGGCCGGUACAAAGAGUUGCGAAACUGUGAAGUUAAGCUAAUCUCAUAAAGCCGGUCUCAGUUCGGAUUGUAGUCUGCAACUCGACUACAUGAAGUCGGAAUCGCUAGUAAUCGCGAAUCAGAAUGUCGCGGUGAAUACGUUCUCGAGUCUU